GAUCGAACUCAUGGAUACUGGCUGAAUCUGUUUCCGCUGCACCACAAUGGGAACUCUUCCAAUGGUAAUCUUAAGUGAGCAAACUUGAGGAGAUCUAUCUUCAGGAGUGCUUACAAACGUUACGCCACCCAAGAGCAAUAACAACAGGGCCUUGAAAGUUAAUGACAAGGACAAACAAACAAUAUUUUUAAAGUACUAUAAACUAGGCACUAUGCGAGCCCUUUAUAGAAGGAGGGCUUACACCUUGUUUGAUCUUCAUAUCUUAGCUUCAUAUCUUCAGAUCUUAGGAUCUUUUUUGACCCUCACAACCACCCUAUAAGGUAGGUAAUAUCAUUCUUGACAGACUAAGGCUGUACGAGAUUACAUAAUUCUUCCAAGGUCACGUGGUUGGUUAGUGAUGGAGCCAGGGUUUGAAACUAGGUGGACUGAGUCUUCACCACUACUCCAAUUCGCCUUUUCCAGGCUCACUGUUUCAAACUGUCUGUUCCUCUGCCAACCCAAGGGCCGGGGGAGGGCCUGAGGAGCCCAGAGGCCCAUCUCUGGGAAGACAGUGAUGGAAGUACCUUGUGAGCAUCUUAUCAACUCAUCUGAACUCUGUGUCACUCAGGCGCUACACUCGGCUUCCUUUGUUCUGAUGUACAGCGAUAACCCAAGGCAAGGGGUUUCCAGAAAGACGAGGCAUGCCCUGUCUUGGCACGUUAUUUGACCUCGCUCAACUGGCCCCACCACUGGAUGCAUGCAGGUCAGGUGGCCUGCAACUGACCCUCUCUGGGUGAAGGCUUAAAAAUCUGGUCAGGAUCGAAAAGUUAUUUCACAUAACAGGGCUCUGAAAGUGGAAAAGUACCUGAGGAGUGGCUAGAGGUGGUGGGAAGGCUGGAGAAAGGUAGGUGGGAAAGGUGUCAGUUACUAUAAAUCUGUAACUUUAUUUUCAACUAGAAAAUUCAGGGGUCUCUAAUGCCUUUUGACUUUCAAGCAUUCCUAUGUGAGGGCUGGCAUAAAUGCUCGUUAGUGCUGUUUAUGGGAAAUUUAAGGUAGAAGGAAUCUGUUUACUGGCUUUUCAGAAAAGGUGAUUUCCUGCCCAGUGACCUAAUUGGUCAGGAAAUAGAUAAGUGACUCUUCGCUAUGCUUAUUUUAAGCAGACAUUAUAAAAAUUGGGGCAUUCUCUCUCUCUCUCUCCUUUUUGGUGAUUGUGAUAUUUAGAUCUGCCAAGGCAGCAUGACUUCAUUGUACUGGAAUCUGGCUGAUUCCAAUACAAAAAAAAAAAAAAAUCAAAUAAGUGAACUCGGUUUUGAAGAUAUUUUCAUUAUUGGGGAUGUUUCCUUGUCAAAGGGUCGAGCUUGGAGAAGAGUUUGGGUAAGCGGCCGAGAGAAAAAUCGAAUUGAUUUACAUGGAAGUCAGGCCUCUCAGAAAAAAGACUGAGAUCAUUCAUACUCUGUUCUCUCAGAGGCACUUUUAGGGAAAAAGGAGUAAAGAACAAAUGAAAGUCAAAUGCUUGAUGAUCCAAAAGAAAUGGGUAUAAUUUUAUUUAUCUUCAAGUUCAGCUGUAAAAGCGACUAGUUGCAAACUUUAUUCCCUCUGCUCUCUCUGAGGACCUCAGCCUGACCUUGUGGAACCUUCUUUCUGGGAAAUUAAAGAAUUUCCAGGAUUAGCUCAAGUUCUGAGGCUGCCAACUGUGACAAUCUACAAAACUCUCUUAGGUAAUGAUUCAGACCCCUCUUCUGCUCCAGGCCAAGAUGGUCCCUGAUGAGUUGGAAAUAUUCUAAUUUCCUGGACCUAGACCACAAGGCGAAGUGACCCUGGAAGAAUUUCAGAAGGGCAAGUUCAACACGUCUGCAUACUAAAGACUCAACAACUGAUAUACAUGUAACAACAGAAAUGUAAUUGAACUUGAAAAGCAAGAAUUAAGGGGUCAUCAGAAACAAGUUUACAAAAGAACACCGGAAGGGAGGAAGGAAGGAGGAAAGAAGGCAGGGAGGGAGGGAGGAGGGGACCACAGGGAAGGGAAGGGGUGGGGAGGGAGGAGGAAGGGAAGGAGGAAGAGAGGGCAGAGAGAGAGAAAGAAAGCUUUAUGAAUUUAAUAAUAAUUGGUCUCCACCACCUGAUUCUGAAGGAAGUCAUUUUCUGAACAUCCCCUGAUAUGAACUUUUGAAUUCUCCAGCAGAAGGCCAAGUUUCCAAUGCUGAUCGGAUAAAAUGCCAAAUAUCUCUCAUCAUUAUAAUCCCAAGAUGAGGAAAAAGAGGAAGAACGAAUCAAUAUUCUCAGUUUAUUGUCGAGGGGCCCAGAGAAGGGUCAGGCUUGAGAGCCCACCAAGGACUGCACUAGUUAAACUAGAUGUCACCCUGAUCCCUCCUCUGACACUCGUCUUUCCUUACAUCUCCUAAACCAUGCAGACAGCUGGGCAGGUCAAUUCAGAACGCAGCCUCCUCAAGAUGGACCAACAUUUAGAAGACUUUGGUAGAUCUGAUAUAUUAAACAAGAAAGCUGAAUUCAUGUUGUGAUGCAGCGUAAACGAAUCCGACUGGGAACCAUGAGGUUGUGGGUUCGAUCCCUGGCCUCGCUCAGUGGGUUAAGGAAUCCAUCAUUGCCAUGAGCUGUGGUGUAGGUCGGAUCCUGCAUUGCUGUGGCUCUGGUGUAGGCCGGCAGCUACAGCUCUGAUUGGACCCCUAGUCUGGGAACCUCCAUAUGUCAUAGGUGCAGCCCUGAAAAAACAAAAACAAAAACAAAAAACAAGAAAGCAAGUCACAAAGCAGUAUGUACACUAUGAUCUAAUUUUUGAAAAAAAUUUACAUAAGGGUAUGCUUAGAAAAGUAGACAGAAUUAUAAACACUGAUAUCUUACCUUACCUUACUGAAACGGCAUUAUAAUUUUUUUUUUCUUUUUGGCUAUAUAUUCUAUUGGCACAUAGAGUAACCUGGAUAAAUUUUAUAAAUACAAUGUUGAGCAAAAGAAAGUGUUACCAAAGAAAACCUACUAUAUGAUUCUGUUUACAUAAAGUUUAAAUACAGGCAAAACUCACCUAUGCUUGUAGAAAUCCAGAUGGUGGUUACUUUUGUGUGUGGGGGCGGGGGGGAUUAGGGGUAAUGACAGAAAUGGGGAGCUUCUAGGGUAUAUUAACAUCUUCUUUCUUAAUCUGUUCUGGUUACACAUGUGUGUUUGCUGAAAAGGUUCAUGGAGUUGUACACUUAUGAUAUAUAUAUCUGUGUUACGAUUCACUUUUAAAGUUACUUAAAUGUAAACCGCAUCCAACGAGAUCUGCAUCCAGAGGGUUCCUCACACAUACUGUCAGGAAGUCUAGAGAAAUGACUAUUACUUUUGGGUGGGGUGAGAUAUUUCAACGUGCCUUUGUGUGUACAUUCAUCCCAAUUGGAUGGUACUGAUCACAAGAAGGGGGCUACAGUAUUUUCUUAGCUCCAUCUCUGAUAAAGGGGCUCUGGAACCAGGCUCCUGGAGUGCAGAGAGACAAACACAAGUUUACGUCAUGGAAGGGUCUUGAUUUGUGCCUAUCAGUGUCCUUCACAUCUUCCUUGACAACAGUGUAUUGAUGGAGAUUCUAGAAGUCCAAGUUUUCAUUUGACUCGGCCUCACUAUAAGGCUUGAUGAAUCAGCCUGGACCAGAUGCAGCCACACGGGGAGGUGCACUUCCCACAUGGAGCUUGCAUUCUUAAAAACAAGCGAAAGUGGCUAAAUUUGUUAGAAGAGAGGCUCUGUGAAGGCUGGGACCUCAUAACCCCAGAGCCUAAUGCAAGUCCUGGCAUAGAACACAGGCUCAAUAAAUAUUUUUGACAUGAGUGAAAGUAUAAAUCCACUUUCAGAAAGAAGAAACUGUUCUAGCUCGAGCAGAAGUUACUAUGAACGGUAAAGGGAAAGGGAAAAGAUGGAGCAAGAUGUUAUAUAUUUAGUGACUUGUAUCUCUGACUCAAGUAAACCAGGUCAGGGAUGAGGGGAUUUGUGUUGCUGUAGAUUUUUGGUAAAACCACUAAGGAAAAAGCACCAUCCAAGAACAAUAUAAUCUAGCCCAGAAAUGUCAUUUAAAAUUUUCUAAUAUCCACAUGAAAAAAAGGUGAAAUAAAUGUGAAUGAUAGAUUUUGUUUAGUAUAGUAUAUCCAAAACGUUACCAUGUCGCCAUGUAAUCAAUACGAAAAUGAAGAUAUUUCACAGUAGUUUCCUUGAUACUAAGUCUCUGGAAAUCCAACAUGUAUUUUAUAUUUACAGUCCAUUUCAAGUGCCUAAGAGUCACAUGAAUCUAGUGAUUCUUGAAUAUGCAGUGCAGGUCUAGGGAAAUAUCUAUUUGGUGGAAGUUCUUUUAUAAAAGAUGAACAGGGUGUGUGUGUGUGUGUGUGUGUGAGAGAGAGAGAGAGACAGAGAGACAGAGAGAGAGAGAGACAGAGAGAGAGAGAGAGAACCUGUCUUGAUGGUAUUUAGCAUUGGUUUCCAUCUAUUCCUGAAAUCAGCCAUGUCCCAGUCUUUCGUUUCUAUAGAUAUGCCAGCAUCCCCAUGAUAAUUUCGACUUUCUGCCUAAGCUCCUUCGAGUGUGGUUUCUGUCACACACAAUGAGUCCUAACUGAUAAAUAUAGAGAAAACACGCCCAUGGGUUUGUCCUGCUUUAGAGGCACAAUAUCUGUCAAAGAGUUGACACUAAAUCAGCCUUGAUGAAGUCAUAAAUCAAGAAAUACAGUUACAACCAAAAAUUGGAUUCUGAAAGUUUUUUUCCUGUUACGCACUGUAGGUUGCACAAUCAAUUUGUACACUGCUUUUGAAAACAAAUGAACCCAAGUCUAGUUCUAGCUUGAAGGAUUCCAGGUGCAUUUGAACUGCACAUUCUGAAUCAAACAGGAGUUUAAUAAGGUGCAGGCGCUACAAGUUACCUGGAUGCUAUCCAUCUGAGACUGCUGCAAUGCAAAAGAAAUGAAAAUAACAGCCUUUCUAUCAGCCAGCAUCCCUCCUGCUUCGUCUCAGGGUUUGUCCACCUGCCAACACACAUUUAUUUCUGUGUGUCUUCAGUUAAACAUGGAACUGGAGUUUGAGGGGAAUGGGUCAACAGUUUAACUUCCCUGAGGAAAAAGCACCUGCCAUCGCUGAUUACCAUCGCUUGAACUGCUUUGUGAUUUAAAGGCCAUAACUAAAUUUGGUAUUUCGGUACUCUUUUCACUUCUGCUAGAGGCCCAGACCUGAACAGGAGAGAUGAUGAUAUCACUGCACAGUUUCCUCUCAACUCCAUGUUUCCCAUGUCACAAAGCAGCCUUUGGGCAUCCGAAGUUGCAUAUGUGGCCUCUGUUCCUAGGACACCUUUGCAGGCAAUUAGUGAUACCUUUGCAGCAAAGUUAGAAAGGCAGGGCUGAAUGAGAGGCAAACACAAUCCCCUUCCCACUGCUUGAUAGGAAAUCCUCCCGGGAUGAGAAAAGAGAGAGAAUUCCAUAAAGAGGAGUUUGGGAUUGGCUUUCAAAACCUCUAAUAGGAGUUCCCAGUGUGGCUCAGUGAG